GACAAUGCCAGAUGAACUACAGAGCAAAGGAGAAGAGUCGUCUAGAGGAGCGGGCCAGCCUGCUCGAAACUGGGUUGCUAAUCCCAGGAUGUAUGGGCCGGAAUGGGCCAAAUGAGCACCAUUCCAGGUCAGAUUUGUAUUGCAUGAGAGAGAGAGAGAGAGAAGUGUGUUGAGGUAGUUAUAUACUGUAAACGCUGAAUAUUCAGUAUCAAUGAUUAAGGUGGCGAAGGCGGCGGCAGCCCCAAUCCUAUCGGAUUGGUGAAAUUUCUUAUGUUCUUGAUCUGUUCUAUAUACUUCGGUGAAAUCUCGUUAGUAAAAACCUCCUGGAAGAGGUGGGAAUCGUUGUCUCGGCAACGGAUUCCACAAGAGCUUUGGCUCCCUCGACUAGGUUCGCAAGAUCUCGAGCGCAUCUUCCACCACAACACUCUACGAGAAGCCUCACUACGUGACUAAGCAAGCAGCUAAGAUCAUGGACCAAGAUGGCAAGUUGGAUCUGCUCCUACGGAAGAUGGAGGAAGCAGAGAAGAAACAUGAGGCAAGUGAGAAUAAGAGGGAACAAACUGAAGAGCAGAGCAGGGCAGAAGGAACUCUCAAGCUGGUGGUUGAAUCUUGGCUUCCGGAAGUCGAGAAGCAUGCUGAUCUUCUUCAGGAUUCGGUGGUGGAGUUACAGGAGAAAGUGGAGAAGCUGCAAACUGUGGUUCAGAAAUCCUCACAUGACACUUCUCCAGAUCUCGACUCUUUAUGUCAGAAAUCUGGUCCUCUGUUUCCCACCCAUUUUUCCCCUGAGUCUCAUGGCUUGCAUCACACUCCUGCAAAUUUGGUGAAUUCGGUUGGAUUAACUAGUUUGUGAGGCAGUGUUCCACCUAUGCUUUGUCCUCAGUUUGAUGGUGACAGCCGACAACUCUGGAAGAGUAAUUAUGAAGAAUAUUUUGAGGUGUAUGGUGUUCAUCCUCGGAAUUGGGUGCGGGUAGCUGGUCUUAAUUUCACUAGUAAUGUAGCGUUCUGGCUUCAAUGGGUAUGAUCUAAGUUGGUAGGCGUCAGUUGGUCAGAAUUUGCUGAACAAGUUUGUCUCAGAUUCACUAAGGAUAGACAGGAAGUUCUUAUUCGGCAGUAGUUUCAUAUGUCUCAAGAAUCUUCUAUGUCUGAGUAUGUUGAGAAGUUUUAUAGUGUUAUGCACCAACUGUUGGCUUACAGUAGUGCUCUACCUCUCAAUUAUUUUGUCACUAAAUUUGUUGAAGGGUUAAGGGAUGAUAUCAGAUCUGCUUUUUUGAUGCAAAAACCCCAGGAUCUAGAUGCAGUUUUCUCUUUAGCAUUUUUGCAGGAAGAAAUCUUGGAAGGUUCCAAACCUGUUAGUCUUAAGAAGUAUGAUGUCCCUGUGUUGAUAAGACAUAACAAUAGACAGGCCACAUCAGCGUCCCACCCUUAAAGGAAUUCCCAGUGGUGUGUUUGAAGAUAGGAAGACAUCUGAAUUCACUAAAGCCAGAGAGGAUAGGUGGGCUGCUCUGAAACCUUACAAGAGAGCCAAGGGAUUGUGAUUUACUUGUGGUGAAAGGUGGAGAUGAGAUCACAAAUAUGCUCCUUCUGUGCAACUCCAUGUGGUGCAAGAACUCCUUGAUGUUCUGCAUCCUGAACUAGAAGAAGCCUAUGCAAACGCUGCUUAUUGGAGCAAUAUGGACUUAUAGCAAUUUCCCAACGGGCUGUGAGUGGUACAGAGUCUGCUACAUCUUUUCGACUGAGGGGAUGGUUAUCAAUUGAGGGGAUGGGUUCAGUGCAUUGAGGUACUGAUGUUAGUUGACUCAUGCAGUUCACAUUUUUUCUUUUCUUCCAUGGCCCCAAAUAUGUCUUGAGUCACAAAUCUGCAGAAAAUCUUAUCAGUCAAAAUUGUUGAUGGUGGGAUCUUGACUUGUUCUCAAUCUAUUCCAAAUUGUACAUGUGGGUUCAAGUUUAGGGUUAUAACACUAAGUUCAAAGUUUAGGGUUAUAACACUAAGUUCAAAUUGCUUCCCAUAGGGACUUAUGAUGUUA